rnacentral:rRNA from 1 species
GAUGAACGCUGGCGGCGUGCCUAAUACAUGCAAGUCGAGCGAACGGACGAGAAGCUUGCUUCUCUGAUGUUAGCGGCGGACGGGUGAGUAACACGUGUAUAACCUACCUAUAAGACUGGGAUAACUUCGGGAAACCGGAGCUAAUACCGGAUAAUAUUUUGAACCGCAUGGUUCAAAAGUGAAAGACGGUCUUGCUGUCACUUAUAGAUGGAUCCGCGCUGCAUUAGCUAGUUGGUAAGGUAACGGCUUACCAAGGCAACGAUGCAUAGCCGACCUGAGAGGGUGAUCGGCCACACUGGAACUGAGACACGGUCCAGACGCCUACGGGAGGCAGCAGUAGGGAAUCUUCCGCAAUGGGCGAGAGCCUGACGGAGCAACGCCACGUGAGUGAUGAAGGUCUUCGGAUCGUAAAACUCUGUUAUUAGGGAAGAACAUAUGUGUAAGUAACUGUGCACAUCUUGACGGUACCUAAUCAGAAAGCCACGGCUAACUACGUG